AACAUGCCCCAAAGUGAGGAAUAACUGCCCGAAAGGGUAGCUAAUGCCGCAUAUGAUCUUAGGAUUAAAGGAUUUAUCCGCUUUGGGAGUGGCCCGCGUACGAUUAGGUAGUUGGUGAGGUAAAGGCUCACCAAGCCCACGAUCGUUAACUGGUCUGAGAGGAUGAUCAGUCAGACUGGAACUGAGACACGGUCCAGACUCCUACGGGAGGCAGCAGUGAGGAAUCUUCCACAAUGGGCGAAAGCCUGAUGGAGCGACGCCGCGUGCAG
rnacentral:rRNA from 1 species